rnacentral:rRNA from 1 species
UACGUAGGGGGCAAGCGUUGUCCGGAAUCAUUGGGCGUAAAGAGCGUGUAGGCGGCCAGAUAAGUCCGCUGUGAAAACUCGAGGCUCAACUUCGAGCUGUCGGUGGAAACUAUUUGGCUAGAGUCCGGAAGAGGAGAGUGGAAUUCCUGGUGUAGCGGUGAAAUGCGCAGAUAUCAGGAAGAACACCCGUGGCGAAGGCGGCUCUCUGGGACGGUACUGACGCUGAGACGCGAAAGCGUGGGGAGCGAACAGG